rnacentral:rRNA from 1 species
CCUACGGGAGGCAGCAGUGGGGAAUUUUGCGCAAUGGGGGAAACCCUGACGCAGCGACGCCGCGUGGAGGAUGAAGGCCUUCGGGUUGUAAACUCCUUUUGUGGGGGACAAUGGUGAUGGUACCCCAUGAAUAAGCCACGGCUAACUCUGUGCCAGCAGCCGCGGUAAGACAGAGGUGGCAAGCGUUGUUCGGAAUCACUGGGCUUAAAGGGCGUGUAGGCGGCAUUGCAAGUCUGGGGUGGAAUCCGGUGGCUUACCCACCGAACUGCCCUGGAAACUGCAUUGCUUGAGUCAGGAAGGGGAGGGCGAAAUUCCCGGGGAAGAAGUGAAAGGCGUAGAUAUCGGGAGGAAGGCCGGUGGCGAGGGCGGCCCUCGGGUGCUUGACUGACGCUGAGGCGCUAAAGCGGGGGGAGCAAACAGGAUUAGAUCCCCGAGUAGU